rnacentral:rRNA from 1 species
AGGGUUCGAUUAUGGCUCAGGAUAAACGCUGGCGGCGUGCCUAACACAUGCAAGUCGAACGAACCCUUAACUUUGAAGCCUCGGUGGAUUUGUUAAGUAAGUUAGUGGCAGACGGGUGAGUAAUGCAUAAGUAACCUACCCUUUAGUCAGGGAUAACGACGCGAAAGUGUCGCUAAUACCUGAUACUCUCUUAGGAACGAUGGUUCUCUAGAGGAAAGUUUUUUCGCUAAAGGAGGGGCUUAUGUCCGAUUAGUUUGUUGGUGGGGUAAUGGCCUACCAAGACGAUGAUCGGUAGCUGGUCUGAGAGGAUGAUCAGCCACACUGGGAAGCUGUAGGAAACACGGCCCAAGACAUCCUUACGGGAGGCAGCGCAGUGAGGAAUAUUGCGCAAUGGCCGAAAGCCUGACGCAGCAACGCCGCGCUGAACGAUGAAGCCUUUCGAGGUGUUAAAGUUCUGUCAAGAAGGAAGAUUAUGACGGUACCUCUGAAGGAAGUCACGGCUAAUUACGUGCCAGCAGCCGCGGUAAUACGUAAGUGGCUAGCGUUAUCCGGAUUUAUUAGGCAUAAAGAGUGCGUAGGCGGCUACUUAAGUCAGAUGUUAAAUCUUACAGCUCAACUGUAAACAGCAUUUGAAACUGAGUAGCUAGAGAUUAAGAGAGGAAAGCGGAACUUACAGUGUAGCGGUGAAAUGCGUAGAUAUUGUAGGGAACACCAGUGGCGAAGGCGGCUUUCUGGCUUGAUUCUGACGCUGAGGCACGAAAGCGUGGGGAGCGAACGGGAUUAGAUACCCCGGUAGUCCACGCCGUAAACGUUGUUCACUAGGUGUAGGAAGCAUCGACCCUUUCUGUGCCACAGAUAAUUCGUUAAGUGAACCGCCUGGGAAGUACGACCGCAAGGUUAAAACUUAAAGGAAUUGACGGGGGCCCGCACAAGCAGUGGAGCAUGUGGUUUAAUUCGAUGAUACGCGAAGAACCUUACCAGGGUUUGACAUCUAUGGAAUCUUUAAGAGAUUAGAGAGUGCCUUCGGGAGCCAUAAGAACAGGUGGGUGCAUGGCUGUCGUCAGCUCGUGUCGUGAGAUGUUGGGUUAAGUCCCGCAACCGAGCGCAACCCUCGUCCUGUGGUUACCAGGCACGUAAUGGUGGGCACUCACAGGGAGACUGCCUGUAAAAAGCAGAAGGAAGGUGAGAAUUGAACGCUCAAGGUCAUACAUGUGCCUCCUUACACCCUGGGCUACACACAUGCUACAAUGGCCGGUACAACAGGUAGCGAAACCGCGAGGUGGAGCCAAUCCCCAAAACCGGUCUCAGUUCGGAUUGUAGUCUGCAACUCGACUACAUGAAGCCGGAAUUGCUAGUAAACGCAGAUCAGCCAUGCUGCGUUGAAUACGUUCCCGGGCCUUGUACACACCGCCCGUCACACCAUGAGAGUUGGGAAUACCCGAAGCCAGUGUGCUAACCGCAAGGAGGCAGCUGUCGAAGGUAGGUUCAGCGAUUGGGGUGAAGUCGUAACAAGGUAACC